GCUGGCAGAGCAGGGGACCAAGACAUUUGUAAGACCAACAUUAUCAUGCUUGAUAACAUGAACAUGCAUGUGUCAUCUGUUAAAGUUGCAGUAUUUGAGUUUGGCUGUAAAAUAAUAAUUUUAGGGCAUUGUUGUCGAAUAUUUUGUUUUUGUGUUUUCAGCUAAAACAACAAAAGCGCCCGUUACUGAGGGAAUAGUGGCAAAGACGCACCCUUGUGUCUCUGGCAACUCAUCCAACCAGACUGUGUCUUCAGGUCCAGAUCCAAAACUGAAUUUCAUGUCACUCUUGGUCACUGGAGUCAGGAUUGUGUUUUCUAAAGCAGUGGCACUAAAUGUCAUCCUGACAGUCAAAGUACUGUGGAUGUAGAGUACAUGUCUUGGCUGUCUGAAGGCCUAUGGAAAAAACUUCAUUUGAUUGAUUUGCAAACUUUCUAGCCCUUCACAUGUCACUAUGUUUGACAUCUUUUUGUCUAUACUGCCUCUCUCCUCUGUUUAUGCUUAGCUUGUGGCAUUUAGGUAUUCACAUAUUAGCCACUAACACUGCACAUCCCCAAGUAUCUAUAUAAGUGACUUAUAAGACAGGUCUUCUUUUGUUGGUUGAGUACUCACAAAUUUCUUAUCUGAUGCCAAUAAGGCCUCAUUUCAAACUUCAUAUUAUCACACCUAGUAGGCCUGUGUCACUGGUAGAGUCCCUUGUACCGAUAGUAGCCUAAUUAUGCAUGUAUUAAUGGCUUACCUUUGAACCCUAUUCUAAGUGUUACCGACAUUAGUGUGUAUGUGCAUUGACAAUAUUUUCAUUUUUACAUUGUAGUCUCCUCAGAGUUUUUGCUGUAUUUCACAUUAGGCAACCUAACUCCUACUGUAUGGGCCAAAUUAGCUUUCACAUAUUUCACAUUAUGCUGUCUAUGAUUUAUCAUUAUUAAUACAUUUAGAAUCUUGCUUGCAUUUUUCACAAUUUUAGAUGAA